rnacentral:lncRNA from 1 species
CGCCGCCUCAGCCCGCCGCCGGCGCUCAGCCUCCGCGCCAAAGGCGAGCGCUGCGCUCCCGGCGCCGCCAUCCCGAGGACGCGGCCUCGCCGGCACCUCCGACCUGGCAAGCGGCAGCCUCGGCUGCGGGGCGGCUGCGGCUCCGCUCUCGGCUGCGGCUUCUCACCUCGUUGGCAGCCUGUCCCGGCCGCGGGGACACCCCCGUCGUCCUCCCUCUAAGGCUAGUGGACCGACGGACGGACGGAGGAUCGAGGGCCCGACUGCGGGCAGCGGACAGCACCGUGUGAGUGGUGCUCUGGAGCACCUUGGUGAUUACCGCACAGUCCUUUUCCUGGGACAGUUUCUGGAAAGGACCAAUAUAUAUCCAACUUACCCAGAUAUAAUCCAAGAUUAAUGGAGAUAUUGCAGAGCAGAUUACUCUUGGCUCUCUAAGACUAGGUAAGAGUUUACAAAUGCAUUUACUGUUUGCAGAUAAUAUUGAUAUUAUGGCAUGUCCUGAAUAUAUUGCUGCCUUGUCAUAAAUUGGAGAUUUAUAUUAACUGAAUAUACAAAUGGUAGAAGGGAAAAAUAGGUUACCUCUAAAAGGCACUGAUGUAUUGAUUGAAAUGCAUGUUAUGACCUGAGCAUAUGCCAGUAUAUCUGAAGGU